CCUGGUAUCGUCUAGUGGUUAGGACACCAGGUUUUGACGUGUCUGAUGUCCUGGUAACCUGGGUUCGACUCCCAGUACCAGGU